rnacentral:rRNA from 1 species
CCUACGGGUGGCUGCAGUGGGGAAUAUUGGACAAUGGGGGGAACCCUGAUCCAGCCAUGCCGCGUGUGUGAAGAAGGCCCUCGGGUUGUAAAGCACUUUCAGUGAGGAAGAACGCCUGGUGGUUAAUACCCAUCAGGAAAGACAUCACUCACAGAAGAAGCACCGGCUAACUCCGUGCCAGCAGCCGCGGUAAUACGGAGGGUGCGAGUGUUAAUCGGAAUUACUGGGCGUAAAGCGCGCGUAGGUGGCUUGAUAAGCCGGUUGUGAAAGCCCCGGGCUCAACCUGGGAACGGCAUCCGGAACUGUCAAGCUAGAGUGCAGGAGAGGAAGGUAGAAUUCCCGGUGUAGCGGUGAAAUGCGUAGAGAUCGGGAGGAAUACCAGUGGCGAAGGCGGCCUUCUGGACUGACACUGACACUGAGGUGCGAAAGCGUGGGUAGCAAACAGGAUUAGAUACCCCAGUAGUC